rnacentral:rRNA from 1 species
CACUCCUGCGGGAGGCAGCAGUGGGGAAUUUUGGACAAUGGGCGAAAGCCUGAUCCAGCAAUGCCGCGUGUGUGAAGAAGGCCUUCGGGUUGUAAAGCACUUUUGUCCGGAAAGAAAUCCUUGGCUCUAAUACAGUCGGGGGAUGACGGUACCGGAAGAAUAAGCACCGGCUAACUACGUGCCAGCAGCCGCGGUAAUACGUAGGGUGCGAGCGUUAAUCGGAAUUACUGGGCGUAAAGCGUGCGCAGGCGGUUUGCUAAGACCGAUGUGAAAUCCCCGGGCUCAACCUGGGAACUGCAUUGGUGACUGGCAGGCUAGAGUAUGGCAGAGGGGGGUAGAAUUCCACGUGUAGCAGUGAAAUGCGUAGAGAUGUGGAGGAAUACCGAUGGCGAAGGCAGCCCCCUGGGCCAAUACUGACGCUCAUGCACGAAAGCGUGGGGAGCAAACAGGAUUAGAUACCCCGGUAGUCCCAUG